CGAAAUGCGAUAAUUAAUGUGAAUUGCAGAAUUCAGUGAAUCAUCGAGUCUUUGAACGCACAUUGUGCCCCCUGGUAUUCCGGGGGGCAUGCCUGUCCGAGCGUCAUUGCUGCCCUCAAGCACGGCUUGUGUGUUGGGCUUCCGUCCCUGGCAACGGGGACGGGCCCAAAAGGCAGUGGCGGCACCAUGUCUGGUCCUCGAGCGUAUGGGGCUUUGUCACCCGCUCCCGUAGGUCCAGCUGGCAGCUAGCCUCGCAACCAAUCUUUUUAACCAGGUUGACCUCGGAUCAGGUAGGGAUACCCGCUGAACUUAAGC
rnacentral:misc_RNA from 1 species